GGGAGGCGAGAGAGAAAAAAAAGGGACGCGUGGAAAAAGCCAAUAAGGGUUGUGUCCGGCGCGGGAAAACCCUACGCGCAGAUACUCCCUCGGGUGUCGGAGUUAUUCCUUACGGAAAGUCUGCCUCCCGCUUUUCUUUCGCCCGCUCCCACGUCGCUCGGCGGAUUUUUCAAACGCAGGGGAAAUUCAUAAUUAGCGUGUCGAGCAGUUUUAUCCAUGGACAGAUUAUCGACGGUUGCUCUUCAAUAGGAAAAAUAAAGAACAUCCUCGCACGCUCGCCCACCUAUCCAACCCCACCGCAUACACGCGUGCAAACCUGGUAGUGCACACACGCGCGGAUGUCGCGCGCGUCGAGCACUUGCGCGCCAACUUGGCACGGCUCUGGAAGCAAUUUACAUCCCGACGUCUCUCCUCACAACCGUGGGAAGGGGUUGGUCGAGGCCGGGGAGAGCGAGGAGGACUGGAGGUAGAGGCGACGGGGCGGCCCGAGACGGCACUGGAGCAUUGUAAUUCAAGUAAUGAACUAAUGCUGCACCGUAGAAUCGACAUUAACCGUGUGUGUACAGCAUACACAUAUUGCCCAGCACCAUUGAUCCGAAAACAGCCUCCAGAGUGGCGGGAAUCGGAAGGGGUUUGUGGACUUUGACUCAUGCGAAAAUUCUACGGCGUAGCACCCCUCCGAAAAAACGUCGGACAUCCACAUGACGGAGGACUUGGUAAAUAAUCAGUAAGACCACCUCAGUUGCUGCAGGAAAUUUCUCGCUGUCCUAAAAAAAAUCGAUCUUUAUGCUGUCAACGAAAAUAGCUCGUUUUUGAAAGAAUUUAAGAGAGAAGUUCUAUGGAAAGUUAAAUCUUUACAUAGACGUACAGUUUCAGGGCAAGUGCACAUUGAAACAUAUAAUAUGUACACUUCCUACAUAUUACACUUAUCUUUUUUUAUUCAAUCUAUAAGCUCAAGUCAAUUGGAGACAUACUUUCAUAUUUCAAAUAACUUUCUCACACAGAACGAUAUACGUGACAAAACGAAAUGUAGGGGCACAUUUUUCUCACGAACGUACAAUUACCGCGUCUCCCAGUAUUAUCGUUUAUUUUGACUAUUCUUUACCGUCUACCGACUUCUCUACCGCGACGUUGGAAAGAGAUUGAAGGGAGAGACGGACAAGAAGAAGAGAAGAAAGAGAAAAAAGGUCAACGAUUGGAUCCAUUUUCGCAGAUCGCAGAUGUCAAAACUCAUUCGCGUCCUUGGCUCUCGGUCUUCUUCUCGAUCAUGCAUCGCGAAGUCUUGCGAAUGACACGCAACUUCAAUUAGAAUCGCAACGAUGUUACGUUACGCGUCGCGGAGUAAUUUGCCCGGCGCGGCGUGUAGAAAACAGGCGUGACAGGCGAUGCCUGCCAGUCGGAAUCGUUCUGAUCUUGUGCUACGUCGUCAUUAUCGCGAAAGCCGCUUUUUAGCUCAGAUAUUUGGAAUGUCACGCAACGCUACGCGAUAUGUUUUCUCGGUGCACGCACCGCAUUUAGUUCCAAGAACGCUGCGUGUCGUCGGGGCCGGUAUCGUUAAAGGAACCACGCAUACACACACACGUACACACGUAUACGCUCCAAUCUGCUACAAAGUUAUCUCGAAGCGGCUAGUAGAAUUUUGGAGUGUUUCGAUUCUUAGCUCUGUUUCUCGCAUACAGAGAAAACGAUUUAAGUUUUACUGUACCCAGAUUUGGAAUGUGGUCGAAACAAACUAAUGUUUUGAAUCAAUAAAUUUGUACGAUUAAUGACAGUGUUAUUUUCGUUAAAUAUAAUAGAUAUUGUUUGAAUAAAACAACUCUCUUAAUCUAAAUCAGUAGAUAAUUACCAGUGCUGAUAAAUCAAUGAUUAUUUUAAGCUAAAAACCAAUGAAAAGUUACUGGCAAUCAUUGAAAAGUUCUUAUUGAUCAGUAUAUUAAUGAAUACACUCGUAAAUACUAAUAAAUACGCAACAGUCAUUAAUAAAUACAUGAGACGAUAAAUUCAUUGAUUUCUCAGUUCAGAUAAUCACUAAUUACCAGUGGCAUACUUGGCAAUGAUGAUCAGAAUUAUUCACUGAUAUAAUCAAUGAUUAUCCACUGAUUUAGAUUUAGAGAGAAUAUUUUUAUUUAAAUAAAUAAUAUUUUGUAUAAGCAUAUAUUGUCUCAAUCAAACA